AGCCCUAAGUGGGUGGUAAACUCCAUCUAAGGCUAAAUAUGACCACGAGACCGAUAGCGAACAAGUACCGUGAGGGAAAGUUGAAAAGCACUUUGAAGAGAGAGUUCAAGAGUACGUGAAACCGUUUAGGGGUAAACCUGAGAAACCCGAAAGGUCGAAGGGAGAAAUUCAUUCGCGUUUCGUCGCGGGCGUCGUUCGUUGGCGCGACGGCGGUCGUUCGCGCGACCGCCGCGCCCUCCGUUCGCGCGAUCUCGAGGCGAACGCGUGCACUUUUCUCCUGGUAGGACGUCGCGAUCCGUCGGGCGUCGGUCUACGGUACGCGGUGGAGUCCGUCGGUCGCGUUCGCGCGCGCACCGACGAACCCGCGUUAUUUCCCGACCGACUCGCUCGACGGUAUAAAGACGGUUCAGGGCCGCUCCGUUUUGCGGUAGCGUCCGGCUCGCGGCAAGCGCGUUAGAUGUGUCGGUGAUCGGACCCGGUGCCGGUCCCGGCCUCUGACGACUGUUGGCCGCGAAGUUCUCGGACAGACCUUCGGACCGAUCGGCGACGCUAUAGCUUUGGGUACUUUCAG
rnacentral:rRNA from 1 species